CCUGAGCCAAAGUUGGUUGCUCGACUGACUGAGCCACCCAAGCACCCCAUCCCAACAAUCUUUUAUCUCCAUCACUAUUUGGUUGCUUUAGCUAAUUUCAUCUAAUUUCUUUUGUGAAAUUUUCAGUUGUUUCUAUUGGAAAACAGGCAUAAUUGUGAUUUUUCUUUAGUUAUAAAUUGUUACGUAUUUUUCUCUGUCUUUAAUUUUUGUUUUCUACAUUUGGUUAAUUUUCAUUUUGCAUCUUUCUUUUUUUGUCCAUUUCUGAGUCUAUAAAUCUGUGACUUGAGGUUGUUUUCUUUCUACUGUAAAGACAUGCUGAAAGAUAUUCAGUUCAAUUUGACAUAUUAUGGUAUAGUUUACUUCUGUUUUGAGGUGGAAUAUUUUUAGGGAGGUGAUUUAUCAUCAACUGAAAUAUUUUCUAGUGGUCAAUGUUCUUAUACUAAAUUUACACAGUAUAUCUGAUUAGACAGCCUUUAUUCAUUUUCAAAUGUUUUAUAUUAUCCUGCACAAGUAAUAACAGGUGAUUUUAUACUCACAGAGUGGUGUUUGAAUAACUCACUAGGUUUCUCGGUUUAAAAGCGUCUCUUUUGGCACAGUGAAGUAUGGACCAUUAAGAAAUGACACUCUUUGGAGGAGAAGCUAGUAUUUCUUCUGAUUUUGUGGUUUCCUCUCUCCUUCUGCCCUUUUCCAUCUCUCUCUUUCUUUCUCUCUCUCCUCACCACCAAGUUUGCAAAUAAGCCUCUGGCUCUCCCAAACCCAAUUCUUCCUGAUACUGUUCUUCUGUUCUUUGGACACAUUUUAAAGCUACUUUCUUUUAACUUCACAAUAUCAAGUAUCACGAUCUACUGAUCAGGUGUGUUCUUAUUUCCCCUUUCAGUGUAGAAGUCUUCCCCCACCCUUUUUAACUCUUAAGGUGACUUAUAUCAGUGUUCUGUAGUGGUGGACAUAGGCUACCUUUUCCUAUUUUAUAGUCUCUAUCUGGCUCUGUUUCAGUAUGAAGUGUGGAGCUAAAUUUGCUGGUGUUUUAUAUGUAUUUUCUUAAUUAUUAUAACUUGAGGACUGUAGAAUUCUCUGUACUGUAGUUAUGUGUCAAGUAUGGGUGAUGUAUUAUUUUAUUUGAUCUUUCCUGUCAAUGGUAUGUUUUUUUUGGAGGAAAUAUGAAGAGAUUCUGAUUGAAGAAAUCUCUGUUAUCCCACAGUUUCCAUCAUUUCCAACUAUAUCCCAACACCAGUAUAAAUCCCAGGUGCUCCUGGAUCUCAGGCCUUCAGACUCUGACUGGAAAACAACAUUGGCUCUUUGACUCUCAAGCCUUCAAACUAUGCCAAAUGCUUUCCUGGGUCUCUCCAUUGCAGAAAGCAUAGUAUGGGACAUCUCAGUUCUCUCUAUAUUCUAUACUCCACAAGCCAAUAUUAGAAUAAAUCUCUUCAUAUAUUGUUCUCUUUCUACUAUUCUGUUUCUCUGAGAAUCCUGAAUAAUUCACAUUACCAGCCUCAAGAUCUAGAGAAUGCGUUACGCUAGAGGUACAGAUGUGGAAUCCAUCAUAGUAUAAAUGACAACUGAAGCAAUGAAGGCAGAUGAAAUAACUCAAGGAGAGUGAGUGAAAGUAGUAGAAACGAUACUAGAAAUGAUCAUAAGAGACAGACAAUUAAAUAGUUAUGCACAAACACUUUACCUACUCUACUAGAAAGAUUUACAGAUGUUAGAGCUGCAAGAAAGACGCGAUUUCUUAUCUUGUCUGGGCAGAUCACAGACGACCGUAAAGAGAAAUUAUGCUUGAACGUAGUUUGAGGUUUGAGUGAGGAUUCACCAAAACGAAAUGGCGAAGAGGAAUGGAGCAGCCUGCUCCAUAUUCCUGUAGGAACAAUGCAGAAAAGCUGGUUGGCUCUGCAUCAGAAUGUGUGCUCCUCUUUCAAAAUCUGGAAUUGUCACUGGGAGAAGGUUGCCCAGCAACAAACUGUAGUUCCCAGACACAUAUCUUGUGACUUUAUUCUUACCAAUGGGAAGUGAGCUUACGGGAUGUCUGUCCCUUCUGGGCCAGAAUUUUAAAAAGUUUUUUUUUUCCCAUUGUUUCUAUCUUGGUUACGAGAAAAAUCUGAGAACCCCAGUAAAUGGAAUCAGCCUGGGGCCUGACCUGCCACGUGGAGAAACAUCACCUGGUGUCCAGGAACACACUCAUUUUACAGUUUCAUGAAUACAAAUAAAACUCUAUUUUGUUGAGCCACUGAUAUUUUCUGACUUGUAACAGCACCCGACAUCACCCUCUUCUGUAGCUAUCCUAAACUGUUUUAGGUUAGGGUAUUAAGGAAUGUGGACAAGAGAGCAUGAGAGUUUUUGCAGGGAUGAGAUGUAUACGACCUUACAUGUUCCUGA